rnacentral:rRNA from 1 species
UACGUAGGGGGCAAGCGUUGUCCGGAUUUACUGGGCGUAAAGAGCGUGUAGGCGGCCACGCAGGUCCGUUGUGAAAACUGGAGGCUCAACUUCCAGCCGUCGACGGAAACCGUGUGGCUAGAGUCCGGAAGAGGAGAGUGGAAUUCCUGGUGUAGCGGUGAAAUGCGCAGAUAUCGAGAGGAACACCUGCGGCGAAGGCGGGUUGCUGGGCCGACACUGACGCUGAUGCGCGAAAGCCAGGGGAGCGAACGGG